rnacentral:rRNA from 1 species
UACAGAGGGGGCGAAGCGUUGUUCGGAAUUACUGGGCGUAAAGCGCACGUAGGCGGCUUGUUAAGUCGGAUGUGAAAGCCCUCGGCUCAACCGAGGAAGUGCAUACGAAACUGGCGAGCUUGAAUAUGGAAGAGGGUCGCGGAAUUCCCGGUGUAGAGGUGAAAUUCGUAGAUAUCGGGAGGAACACCAGUGGCGAAGGCGGCGACCUGGGCCAAUAUUGACGCUGAGGUGCGAAAGCGUGGGGAGCAAACAGG